CGACCUACCGCGCUGCCGCAGUCGGGCGGGAACCGAACCGUUAAACUGGCGGCGCGCGUUUUCCUGGACGUACGGGGCGCGAGGAGCCGACGCUGCCCCCUUUGGAGGUUGCGCCUGGCGACGAGGAGGCCGCGGGAGGCCUCUCUGAGGUGCUGACGGGCUCUUCCUGGACGGGGCGUGCCCGCAUGAACAGCCUUCAGGACCCCAGCCCGCGGUCCGACCUGCCUGAGACGGGGAAGGGGCGAGCUAUCUGGAGCCAGUAUCCUGUGUGUUUCACAUCCUGAUUCCUCUGAGCUCACCGUAGGGAGUGGCUAUACCUGAUGGCUGCCAGAUCACAGGGAUGAGUUACACACAGUGAACAGCAGGGGACACAAAAUUGAGAAGUUAUUCUCUACAUAGCAAUGCACAAUGAAAUCUCAUGUUGUAGUGGAAAGCAGAUGAAUUUUGGAGGCAGACAGACUGUUUGAUUUCACCUUGCUCCAUCACGUCAUAUUAAAAUGUAGAGACAUUACUUUGCCAACAAAGGUCCAUCUAGUCAAGGCUAUGGUUUUUCCAGUGGUCAUGUAUGGAUGUGAGAGUUGGACUAUCAAGAAAGCUGAGCACCGAAGAACUGAUGCUUUUGAACUGUGGUAUUGGAGAAGACUCUUGAGAGUCCCUUGGACUGCAAGGAGAUCCAACCAGUCCAUCCUAAAGGAGAUCAGUCCUGGGUAUUCAUGGGGAGGACUGAUGUUGAGGCUGAAACUUCAAUACUUUGGCCACCUGAUGUGAAGAGCUGACUCAUUUGUAAAGACCUGAUGCUGGGAAGGAUUGAAGGUGGGAGGAGAAGGAGAUGACAGAGGAUGAGAUGGUUGGAUGGCAUCACCGACUCAAUAAUGCUCCAAUGAGCAUCUUUGGUGAUGGACAACGAGGCCUGGUGUGCUGCUGUUCAUGGAGUCACAGAGAGUUGGACAUGACUGAGUGACUGAACUGAAGUGAAUCAUGCCUUUAGUCCCUUCUCAUAUCAAAAAGAUUAAUUCUUUAUACUAUUUUUAAAAGAUC
ensembl:lncRNA